rnacentral:lncRNA from 1 species
GAAAAAGGGUGAUGGGAAAACAGUAGUAGUAAAGCACAAAAUUAAUAUUCCAUUCAAAGGGGGGUCAGAGGUUUGGGAAUACAUUGCAAAGAGCAUAUACCCUAGACAGGGGUCAGGUUUGGGCAUGCACAGUAAUAUAUGGUGUUGGCAUGCCCAUAAACCAACCAGAACACAUACCACAUAGAGGGAAUAUAGAGGUUAUAACCCUAGGGGGAUCAGGUUUGGGUCAUGCACAACAAUGUCCAAUGCUUUCACACCCCCAAACCAACCAAAGAUAGCAAACACAUAGGGGAUAUAAGGGUUUGGGAGUCAUAAGUGACUGACAGAAUUCAUACAUGAGAAAGCAUUGAUCCAGAAUAGAAAGGCAUAAUACAGCAUGCUUAAUAAUGGAACUUAAUUCAACACAAGCAGGAAACAAGCAAGGGUGAAGGAAACAGUAAAGAAAUAUAUUGUUGUUGAUGUUGAAAAUAAAUUAGAACAUACUAGUAAAGAAGCAAAAUGUAGAAAAGAAAAAGCAAGCUAAUUUCCCAUAGCCUAGCCUUGGCUUUCAGCUGGCUUGACAAGGCAACAACACAAGUAACAAUAGAGAAAAGAGAGAGAGAUUCUUAGUGGAGUGUGUGUUCUGAACUCAAGUAUUUUAUUCUUCGUGUUCGUGUGUUUGAAAGAAGAGGGGUGCAGGGUAUUUGUAGCCUUUUGAAAACAUGUGAAGAAUAAGGUAAUAAGUAAAAUUCAAUACAACUAUGGAAACAAUCAACAGUCAGAAUCAAUCAACCAAGUGAUUCUCCCUUAAUUGAGGAAUCACUUGUUUAAUAGGGCUAAGAGAUGUAAAAUAAGGAAAGAAAAUCAGUUUGUAGACAGACUGAUCAUUGCCAUAAAAGAAGUAAUAAAAUAUUAAGUAAGCAAUCGAGUCUAAGAAUAGAAAUAUACUUAUUUUUAGAAGCAAAUUCAGCCAAGCAAAAUAAGAAAAGGGAUCAAUUAAUUUAACAGGCGAGUGAAAUUAGAGUUCACAAAGAAAAGUUUUGAAAUCAGUCCCAAGAUUAAAAAUAAAUCAAAGAAGGAACCUCAACAUAUAAAUAGAGUGUACAAACAAUAGACAUGCAAGGCCAAACCGAUUGGCAAAAGAAACAACAUGCAAUAGUAGCACAAAGUUCAAUAUAUAGCAAACAUUCGAAGCAUGAUAGUCCAGUAAGACAAGUCACAUUGAAUCAAUAUCGAUGCCCCCUUUUCUCGCGAAAUCGAGUUUAUGACACUUGGAAGGAUAACUCAUUCCUUUUUUGGAAAUUGGGUUUUGCAAUUUUUGAAGAGUUGUCACCUAAUGAUUAAGUGCAUUAGGACACUAAAAAUGAAUUUGAUUUAGAAAACCAGAGAUUUGGUAAGGGAUAGAAAUUAUCUCGAGGGGAAGGUGUUAGGCACCUGUGAAGAUCCACUAGUAUGGUUGCCGGCUAUGCUACAAUCGUGACUUUAAGUACAAACAACAAGUAAACAAGCAAGAAUUGUAAAUACUAGGUAGCUUUCAUGUAAGGGCUGUAAACAACUGAAAUACAAGAAGUUAAAGAGGCUGAAAUUUGGAAAAAAGCCGUUUUAGAAUUCUAAAAAAAACAUGCAAGUAAAGGGGAAGGGGUUUGCACAUAAUUGAUGCAAGUUAAUGAAAAUAGAAGGGUUAAAUAAGCUGAAAAUUAAAUAAAUUUGAAAAUUCUGAAGAUAUAGACAAGUAAAGGGAAAGGGGGUCCUAGGUUUAUGAAUAAUAUUGAUCAACCCACACAACACCCGGUAAUCGUGUAUACACGUGGUGUUAUCGCGUGGUUAUCAUAUCCAUAUCUACCCUUCCCACCCCGUUAAAAGGUAUUAAACGCAGAAUAGCCUCGCUACUUAUUGCUUGCUAUUACCCGUCCCAAUCCUAUCAGUCCUAGAGGCGUUUGGAACUACUAGUCUUAAAAGGAGGGAAAUGUGGAUUUUGUAUGGUUUAAAAAGAAUAAAAUUCUAGGGCGACAAACAAAAUACGUAAUGCAAUUAUGGGAAACACAGAACAAUUAAAAGGCUUAGGCAGGCCUCCUCACUUAAAAUCAUAUUGUUUAGCAUGACUUACAAAUAGUGAUUAUGGCCUAAAUUAAAUUUAAGUGUUAAAGCAGGCUGGUUUAUCACAUUUUUCUCAGACAAGAAGUCCGAAUUAGGCCUACCCCUGGUUAUAAUUAUCAAAGACUGAUGCAAUAAUUAAUUACCUAAUGACUUGCCUAGGUGACACCUAUAGGCAUGAUAUCUAUAAUGCAGGAGUAUGCUGAUUUUAAAGAGGGCUUACUGAUUAUAGAAAAAACAUAAGUUCUAUGGAUAUUAAAUGACACUACUACUGGUUUUAGACUUGUAAGCAAGAUAGACGAUUCAGAUUCAGUUAGUUAUUCCUAUAGGUAUGCUUUCUAAGCGUGAUUGAUUUUAAAACGUUUAUAAAAGUAUAGGAAUCCUAUAAACAUGGUAUAUAUAGUGUCAUUUGUUAUUUGAGCCUAUAAACUAUUUGUCUAGUGAUAGAUGAUAUGCAGAGGUGCAGAAAACCCUAUAAUCAUGAUCUCUAUAUGCAUAAGUGCAGAAAAACCUUAUAGUCAUGAUCUCUAUAUGCAGAAGUGCAGAAAAACCCUAUAGUCGUGAUUUCUGGAUGAGAUGCAGAAGUGCAAAAAAAAAACCUUAUAGUCAUGAUAUCUAUAUGAGAUGCAGAAGUGCAAAGCAGGAUAUGCUUGCAGGAAUAAGUACCUAGGAACAUGAUGUCCCGUGUGAAUACAUGAGUGACCCUUCCCUUUUUAUUAAAAUCACAUAAGUUAUUACAGACCAAACGUAAAAUUACAUAAGAAAUUAAACUACAACCAAGGAGCCUAAUUCAGACUCAAGGUCUAAAAUAUGAGAUGAACCAACUCCAAAUAUCAGGAUUUCCAAAGCCUUUCUCAUUUUUGGGUGUGUCAAAGUUCCCAAGAGCUUUAAGUGGACUUCGGGCAAUGCUUACACCCACAUACAUUGCAGAAUUAAUUAUACUGUGGUGUGGAAGAGCCAACCCUUAAAUGUCUAAGUUCAGAGGGAACUCAAGGUCCCAAAGCAAAGCUCAUAGGAGGAGGGCAGAGCUUAAAAUCUAUGAGAGUGUGCAAGUGUAUAGAUGGGAUUUAGGGAAGGCCUUGGUAGGCUGGUGGUCAUACCCAACAAUUAAGAGUGUUGGCACACUCCUAACUAGCCUAUUAACCACAUUUGUUUGGGAGUUAGGAUCCAUUAAAGAUCAGGUUCAAACAUGAGCAGCAAUUUGGAUACUACCAUGGCUGAACCGUAACUCAAACACAUAGAAGGGAAUAGGGGUAAGGAUUCACAGUAGAAACAUAUGCAAGAAAAUGCAUAGUUAAUAUUAACCACUUAGCAUGGACAGUAAAGUAAUCAAGAUCGCAAAAGUUGUAAAUAAACAUAUUGGGAUGAUGGCUUAAACAAAAUUAGAACAUACCAGUUUCAGGGAAACAAACAAGUAAAAGCAGAAGUCUUGCAAAGCCAAAAUUACAAGCAAACGGCCAGAAAAAUCACAGAUGAGAAUGUGAGGGUAAUUGAGUGUGUCUUAAAGAGUAUUGGACUGGAAGGUGUGCAAAAGUAUUGAAUUUGAAGUCUGUCAAAGUGCAGGAGGGCCGUGCCCUUUAUAGUGCAGAAAGCAAGUAAGAAAAGGUAAAAAAAUAGCAAUAAAAUCAAUCUCCCUUUAAUUAAGGGAUUCUAAUUUCAAAUAAGUAAAAGACAAUUAAGGAAAGAGUUGAUCAAAACCUUUUCCAAAGCAUUACAAUAAGGGAAAAUACACAAGGGUUUACUUAAGGAAAACGUUCAGUGGUACACGGUUUGUGACAAAAUAAGGAAUGGGAAUCAAUCAACAGCCAGUAAAAUCAAGAUUGCAGGCUUUGUUUGAGUGAAGCAAGUCAGGAAAACGUAAAGAAGGUUCAAUCAAAGAAAAAAUCAGUAACAAUCAGUCAAACCUUAUUAAAAAGGAUUUGAAAUCAAUAAAUAGUUGGCAAGACCUUUUUUGACAAAAGAAUUUCUCAUGUAUAAAGCAUACAAAUAUCAUACAAGAAGAAGUUGUCAUGCUGAUUAGAAAAGGCUAUCAUAGAAAAAGUCAAAAAAAAGGUUCAGAUCUAAUUUAUAGACUCAUAAUGAGUCUGAGAGUCCCCUAUCCAAACACAAAAUCAAACUUGCCAAAGAAACCUCUAAAUCCUAAGGUUUUAACUCGAAUCAGAUACAGAGAGGAGAACGCAAGCCAUCGAAACAGACUUAGAGGUCUAUUUCAGAGCCUUAUAAGGAAGCACACAGAUAUAUUGCAGGUUUGAAGCGACAGAGUGAAAGGUUGAUUUAAAGGCAUAAGAACAUGUAUUAGGAAAAACUUGGAACUUAAGCAAGUUCAGAAGAAAGAAGAUAAGUGAUAUAAACUUAAGAAACAGUAAAGGAAGCAUGCUUAGAACUCAAACAAAAAUCCGGUAAAGCAAAACAAAUUUUAAGGACUCAGCAGGAAACACGUACAAUAGAAGAAUACUAGAAAGUAUAGCAAAGAACAUGUAGGAAAAUAUAAAAAUUAUUAACAUGUGAGCCUAAUCUAGAGUCACAGUAGAGUACAAAGGUACAGAAGAGUCACGUAUAGUAGGAACAAAACAGAAGAACAACACAUGUAUGGUAGAAAAGAAAACACACGAGUAGAAUAUAGACGAACACACAAAAAGAAAAGAAAAGAAAAGUAAGAAUCAGAAAGAUGUUUUGAAAACCUUUCAAAAACCCUAAAUCAAAGAGAAGCAAUUUUUGAAAGAAAGAUUGGGGAAAAUACUUUAAACAUCCAGUAGAACACAAAUAUAUCCAGAUAUAAGAAAACGAACGAAUAAAAACCUCGAAUAACUUAGUAUUUCGGAGAAUUCCUAGAAAUGAGAAAGGCUUUGAAGGUCACCGAUCUAAGUUGGAGAAGGUCAAACACAAGAUCAGAUGACUAUGGUACACCGGAACAGAGCCGGAGAGGACCCUUAAGACCCUGAAACAAAGAAAAACCUCGAAUAGCUUAGGAUUUUGGAGACACCCUAGAAAUGAGAAAGGCUUUGAAAGUCACCGAUCUGAGUCGGAGAAGGUCAGAAAUAGGCUCAGACGACCAUGGUACGCCAAAACAGAGCCAAAGAGGACCCUGAGACCUCGAAUCAAUGGAGGUCUGGGUUAAACCCUUUGUAGUCAGGCGUCAAAUCUUCAGGUAUCAAGCACGUAAGAGCACCAGGAGGUAGGUGUAAGACUCAUAUAGCUUUGAUGGCCAUAGAUUGGUGGAUUUUAGGGCGGAGGUGGCUAGGGUUAGAGAAGGUUCGAGAGUGUUUGAGAGGAGGGGAGGGUUUUAGAGGCGGCUGGUAGGUAAGAAAUGAGGAGAUUAGGGUAGUCGUUUGGGUUUUAAAAGGUAGGAAUGAAUAGGAGCUGUUGAUCUAUCAAAUCAACGGCCAGGAUGAAAGGGGUCUAGUCGGGUUGUAUCUAAUUGGAUCAGGGGCUAGUAGUUUAGGAAUUGGGCUGGUCCAUUUUGAAAUUUAAAUUGGGGUUAAU